AUUGAACGCUGGCGGCAGGCCUAACACAUGCAAGUCGAGCGGCGCGUCGGACGGGGGAGUACGGCCGAGGGAUCUGCAUGGGGGUGGGGGAUACAGUCGGGAAACGGGCGCUAAUACCGCAUACUAUCAGAUGAGCCUAGGUGGGAUUAGCUAGCUGGUGGGGUAAAGGCCUACCAAGGCGACGAUGCGUAACUGGUCUGAGAGGAUGAUCAGUCACACUGGAACUGAGACACGGUCCAGACUCCUACGGGAGGCAGCAGUGGGGAAUAUUGGACAAUGGGCGAAAGCCUGAUCCAGCCAUGCCGCGUGUGUGAAGAAGGUCUUCGGAUUGUAAAGCACUUUAAGUUGGGAGGCGGUAUCAACAGAAUAAGCACCGGCUAACUUCGUGCCAGCAGCCGCGGUAAUAC
rnacentral:rRNA from 1 species